AUUGAACGCUGGCGGCAUGCUUUACACAUGCAAGUCGAACGGUAACAGGCCGCAAGGUGCUAACGAGUGGCGAACGGGUGAGUAAUGCAUCGGAACGUGCCCAGUCGUGGGGGAUAACGCAGCGAAAGCUGCGCUAAUACCGCAUACGAUCUGUGGAUGAAAGCGGGGGACCUUCGGGCCUCGCGCGAUUGGAGCGGCCGAUGUCAGAUUAGGUAGUUGGUGGGGUAAAGGCACAACAAGCCGACGAUCUGUAGCUGGUCUGAGAGGACGACCCGGCACACUGGGACUGAGACACGGCCCAGACUCCUACGGGGGGCAGCAGUGGGGAAUUUUGGACAAUGGGGGCAACACUGAUCCAGCAAUGCCGCGUGCAGGAAGAAGGCCUUCGGGUUGUAAACUGCUUUUGUACGGAACGAAAAGGCUCUGGUUAAUACCUGGGGCACAUGACGGUACCGUAAGAAUAAGCACCGGCUAACUACGUGCCAGCAGCCGCCGUAAGAC
rnacentral:rRNA from 1 species